rnacentral:misc_RNA from 1 species
AGUUUCAAACCAUUCCCUAUCGGGUGUCUUAUGAAAGUGAUUGAUCCAGGGUAGCUUCUCCAUGAGAGGAGCAGCGACCUCACGGAGAAUCCAUGAAACAAUCAGAGACAGAGAAAAGAGACCACAGUAUGCAAUCCUGGCGGAUCGUCGGCUUAUUCCUGAAACCACCGUGCGGCAAGCAUCACAGGCGCAGGCUGCACAGCAAGACGCAAGGCA